GACGAACCGUGCGAACGUUGUUCGGAAUCACUGGGCUUAAAGGGCGCGUAGGCGGGCUGUCAAGUCCGGGGUGAAAUCUUUCGGCUCAACCGGAAAAGUGCCUCGGAUACUGGCAGCCUUGAGGGAGGUAGGGGUAUGUGGAACUUCCGGUGGAGCGGUGAAAUGCGUUGAUAUCGGAAGGAACGCCGGUGGCGAAAGCGACGUACUGGAUCUCUUCUGACGCUGAGGCGCGAAAGCUAGGGGAGCGAACGGG
rnacentral:rRNA from 1 species